AAAAAGAAAUAGUGUAUACGGAUAGGGGCCAUUUUUCCAUAUAAAUAGAAAAAUUUUUUUU
rnacentral:tRNA from 1 species